rnacentral:rRNA from 1 species
AGAACUUAGCAGAGAUGCUUUGGUGCCUUCGGGAACUCUGAGACAGGUGCUGCAUGGCUGUCGUCAGCUCGUGUUGUGAAAUGUUGGGUUAAGUCCCGCAACGAGCGCAACCCUUAUCCUUUGUUGCCAGCGGUCCGGCCGGGAACUCAAAGGAGACUGCCAGUGAUAAACUGGAGGAAGGUGGGGAUGACGUCAAGUCAUCAUGGCCCUUACGAGUAGGGCUACACACGUGCUACAAUGGCGCAUACAAAGAGAAGCGACCUCGCGAGAGCAAGCGGACCUCAUAAAGUGCGUCGUAGUCCGGAUUGGAGUCUGCAACUCGACUCCAUGAAGUCGGAAUCGCUAGUAAUCGUGGAUCAGAAUGCCACGGUCGAAUACGUUCCGGGCCUUGUACACACCGCCCGUCACACCAUGGGAGUGGGUUGCAAAAGAAGUAGGUAGCUUAACCUUCGGGAGGGCGCUUACCACUUUGUGAUUCAUGACUGGGGUGAAGUCGUAACAAGGUAAGCGUAGUGCU